rnacentral:piRNA from 1 species
AUGUAUUUAUUUUGUGAGUAAGG